GACGAACGCUGGCGGCGUGCCUAAUACAUGCAAGUCGAGCGCAGGAAACUGACGGAACUCUUCGGAGGGAAGGCAGCGGAAUGAGCGGCGGACGGGUGAGCAACACGUAAGGAACCUGCCUCAAGGAUUGGGAUAACUCCGAGAAAUCGGAGCUAAUACCGGAUAGUUCAACGGACCGCAUGGUCCGCUGAUGAAAGGCGCUUCGGCGUCACCUUGAGAUGGCCUUGCGGUGCAUUAGCUAGUUGGUGGGGUAACGGCCCACCAAGGCGACGAUGCAUAGCCGACAUGAGAGCGUGAUCGGCCAAACUGGGACUGAGACACGGCCCGGACUCCUACGGGAGGCAGCAGUAGGGCAUCUUCCACAAUGGACGAAAGUCUGAUGGAGCAACGCCGCGUGAGUGAUGAAGGUUUUCGGAUCGUAAAACUCUGUUGUAAGGGAAGAACACGUACGAGAGGGAAUGCUCGUACCUUGACGGUACCUUACGAGAAAGCCACGGCUAACUACGUGCCAGCCGCCGCAGUAAUAC
rnacentral:rRNA from 1 species